rnacentral:rRNA from 1 species
UACGGGGGGUGCAAGCGCUGUUCGGAAUUAUUGGGCGUAAAGCGCGUGUAGGCGGUCUGUUAAGUCUGGUGUGAAAGCCCUGGGCUCAACCCGGGAAGUGCAUUGGAUACUGGCAGACUUGAGUACGGGAGAGGGAAGUGGAAUUUCGAGUGUAGGGGUGAAAUCCGUAGAUAUUCGAAGGAACACCGGUGGCGAAGGCGGCUUCCUGGACCGAUACUGACGCUGAGACGCGAAAGCGUGGGGAGCAAACAGGAUUAGAUACCCUGGUAGUCCACGCUGUAAACGAUGGGUACUAGGUGUUGCGGGUAUUGACCCCUGCAGUGCCGAAGCUAACGCAUUAAGUACCCCGCCUGGGGAGUACGGUCGCAAGACUAAA